UACAGAGGGUGCAAGCGUUAAUCGGAAUUACUGGGCGUGAAGCGUGCGUAGACGGUUUCGUAAGUCGGGUGUGGAAUCCCCGGGCUCAACCUGGGAAUUGCAUUCGAAACUGCGAGGCUAGGGUACGGAAGAGGGAAGCGGAAUUUCUGGUGUAGCGGUGAAAUGCGUAGAGAUCAGGAGGAACAUCAGUGGCGAAAGCGGCUUCCUGGGCCAGUACCGACGUUGAGGCGCGAAAGCGUGGGGAGCAAACAGG
rnacentral:rRNA from 1 species